AGAGUUUGAUCCUGGCUCAGGACGAACGCUGGCGGCGUGCUAAACACAUGCAAGUCGAACGGAGUUAUUAUUUCAGAAGCAAUUAGCUUGCUAAGAGUGGAAGAGAGGAUAACUUAGUGGCGGACGGGUGAGUAACGCGUGGGGAACCUGCCCUGCACCGGGGGAUAACACCUGGAAACAGGUGCUAAUACCGCAUAAGCGCACGAGGCCGCAUGGCCAGGUGUGAAAAACUAAGGUGGUGCAGGAUGGACCCGCGUCUGAUUAGCUUGUUGGUAGGGUAACGGCCUACCAAGGCGACGAUCAGUAGCCGGCCUGAGAGGGUGAACGGCCACAUUGGGACUGAGACACGGCCCAAACUCCUACGGGCAGGCAGCAGUGGGGAAUAUUGGACAAUGGGGGAAACCCUGAUCCAGCGACGCCGCGUGAGUGAAGAAGUAUUUCGAUAUGUAAAGCUCUAUCAGCAGGGAAGAAAAUGACGGUACCUGACUAAGAAGCCCCGGCUAACUACGUGCCAGCAGCCGCGGUAAUACGUAGGGGGCAAGCGUUAUCUGGAUUUACUGGGUGUAAAGGGAGCGUACACCGCAUAGCAAGUCUGAUGUGAAAGAUCGGGGCUCAACCCCGGGCCUGCAUUGGAAACUGUUAAGCUGGAGUACAGGAGAGGUAAGCGGAAUUCCUAGUGUAGCGGUGAAAUGCGUAGAUAUUAGGAGGAACACCAGUGGCGAAGGCGGCUUACUGGACUGUAACUGACGUUGAGGCUCGAAAGCGUGGGGAGCAAACACAGAUUAGAUACCCUGGUAGUCCACGCCCUAAACGAUGAUUAUAAGGGGUCGGUGGGCAUGGGCCCAUCGGUGCGGCUAGCCAACCCAGUAAGUAAUCCACCUGGGGAGUACGUUCGCAAGAAUGAAACUCAAGGAAUUGACGGGGACCCGCACAAGCGGUGGAGCAUGUGGUUUAAUUCGAAGCAACGCGAAGAACCUUACCAAGUCUUGACAUCUCCGAUGCCAGGGUGAGUAAAGUC
rnacentral:rRNA from 1 species